GGCCCAGUGGUGAAGUGCAUCACACCUGCUGAAUUUAUCAUAAAAGUAGUGAAGCUACAAGCAGGAGUCUCUUGUUCGAACCAAGGCCAGGUCA